GAGGGAGGAGGUACUACCAUCCUCGCUCACAGUCAUCCAUCUUCGCAGUAAGUUAUCCCCGCUUGGGCGAGGUUUCAAACGUUUUUCAGAUGUACCAAUGGCGUAUUCUUGCUCGAGAACAAUGAAGAUGAGGCUCCUUUAAAAAGCUUCAGAAACUUCGGUCUAUGGCAAAGGGCAAGAGGGACGGCGAAGAUAAUGGGGAAUAUAUGAGUGUGUACAGGGAACAGAAGCUGUAUCUGCAAUGCCAGGAACUUUGAAAGUCACCUAGAAUGAUUUGCUCGGCCUGAAAAGCAUUCUUCCAUUUCGUUAACAGAGAAAAGUGGAGAAAGCAGCAUUGUCUGGAGACACUGGAGAAGCGGGUAUCAUUUUAAUACAAGACAGAUUUCCCUGGCAGAGUUGACCUGAGAAAUGUCUUUAUUCCAGACUGAUGGUUCCUAACACAAAAACCAAAAAUCUGAUGAGAAUACUAAUAUAUAAAUUAUAAGUCACAAGUUGUAUCUGGGACAGGGAUGGUAGGACAGACUAAGAAAAGGAAAAUUUGAAGAGGAUUGAAAAACAACCCAGCAAAAUACAACAAUUAAGAAAACUAAGCCACCACUGUUUUAUAUCUGUCCUGUAUUUUAAUUCCUUAGCUUAUAGGUUUAAUUCAUCACUUCUUGUCAGGUCUCAGGUGAGGCAAAGUUAAGAUACAGUCAUAACUUCUCUUUAACUUUGAUAAAUGAAGAAACAGCAUUCUAGGAAAGUCCUGGAGGAGGUUAAAGGGAGACUGAUUUGAAGUCUCAGCAUCUAAUCCUGAAGGCUAACAAAAAAGUUAUGUCCACAAUUAUGACUUUGUACUGUGAAAUACACAAUACACUUUAUAAUGCAAAACUUUGGUGGGUGGAAAAGGACUCUAGAAGGACAGGUAUACAUUGUAUUAAACAGAAAAUAACUUGCAAAGCAUAAAAAAUAAAAAUAAAAGCAACAGCAAUUGUUUUCUACCUGUCAGCAUCUGGUCAAUCUGUCAGAUUGUUCAGUAACCAGAAUUAUAACAGAUGCAAUAUUUUCUGUGGGGAAUUACACCACCAUGGAAGCUAUUGCUCCUGAAGUUUUGCCCAUUUCCACCUGAAAUAUUUUUUUAGCCUUACUUGAUUACAACAUUAGCACUCUCUUUCAUAACGUACACCAGCAGGUACUACAAUUAACAUGCACAGAUGUUAGAACUGAACAUCCAUGUUUAAAUAAAAAACAGGGAGAAGGUAAAAAUUACUGAAUAUGCUCAACACAGCACUAAUCUUAAAAGGAAAGAGAGGCUUACAUUGUGCUAACUUAACAGCAAAAUAAAAAAAACAACAAUCCCCCAGUUGGCAUUAGUAACCUAAGAAGAAGCAAACCACUCUAUAAAUGCCUGUAUUCUUCUGAAACACUGAACCAGAGGCUGAUCUUUUGUCCAUUUAAUUCCAAAAUUUGUACUCCAAGAAUAGAGGAGAACUCCCAAAUGCUCUCAAAUUCUCCAACACAUUUUAUGAUGCAACUGCACAAAUGACGAUAACACCAACAUCAUUUUGUGGAGUGCUGGCUUUGUGCUUUAUGUACGUCAUCUCACUGAAUCCCCACAACCACCCUCUCAUUCAGGCAGGCAGUACUACUUCUGUUCCCAUUUUCAAAUAAAGACACCCAGGCCUAGGAGAGGUUAACAGAUCAAGGUCAACAAGUAGCUAAGCUAAGAUUUGAUCCGGAGUCUUUUUUUCCUCCUAAAGCUCUCAACUCAUUGUAACCACUGUGCCACACUGUCUGCCACAGUUGGGGAUGCCAAAGAAAAAUGUGAUUUGCAGUCUUCAUUUUUCAGAAUCUUCUGGAACUGCCCUCUUGACUCAUCCAUUUUACAAAGCUCAUCAGACUGAAAGGCUCAGAACACUUGCAGACAUUCUCAUUCUUUGGAAAUGCCACAACCACUCAGUCAGUGGAAUGGGACAGCACCAUCAAUGGGAUUGCGAAGGCACAAAUUUCCCUGUGAAUGCUGGCGCCGCCUCUCUUUGGUGUUUCUUCUAGCCACAAACGGACACGUUAUCACUUACUGUGGUUGCAUUCGACUCAGCAGCCAGAUGCAGGGGAGUUUUUACUUGGUUAACUGUCCCUCCAACAUCUGUGUCUACAGAAGAUACUACAGGGCAGGCGUGUGCUCAUCCUUGUCCCUUCUCCCUCCUCCAACCAAACACACAAAAAGUUUUCCAAUCUCUAGGGCAACACCAUUAAGAUAUCCUUUCCUUGCUGUGCUAUGAGUUUACAAGAAAUAACUUUCUAACAAUAAGCCAAGAAGAUGGAUGUUGUAAAACUGCAUUUCAAAUAAGGCAAUUCCUUUUUAAAAAAGAUUCAAGGGUUUCACGCUUCUUUCUUCCUUCCAUCAACACAAUUUGUUUAUGUAUGAGUUGGAUCUUUCUUCCUUCGGAAGAGAAAAGUGCUGAUAAACUAUCAUGUGUAGACACACAACGCAAAAACUUGGUUGCCUUUUGCUAUUUAAACAGAGACAAAUUAUUUCCCAAUAUACCACUUACCAGACAGAUGCAAAGAUGUGGGCAAACCAGUCAUCAGAAUUAACAGAGUGAUUUUGCUUGCACUACAUAUUCUGAUUUGUAUGACUCUUAUUUUUAGCCAU
rnacentral:lncRNA from 1 species